rnacentral:rRNA from 1 species
CAGUCGCCACGGGAAAACGAAGGGGGCUAGCGUUGUUCGGAUUUACUGGGCGUAAAGGGCGCGUAGGCGGACUGAUAAGUCAGGGGUGAAAUCCCAAGGCUCAACCUUGGAACUGCCUUUGAUACUGUUUGUCUUGAGUUCGAGAGAGGUAAGUGGAACUGCGAGUGUAGAGGUGAAAUUCGUAGAUAUUCGCAAGAACACCAGUGGCGAAGGCGGCUUACUGGCUCGAAACUGACGCUGAGGCGCGAAAGCGUGGGGAGCAAACAGGAUUAGAUACCCCAGUAGUCCCUGUCUCUUAUAA